rnacentral:rRNA from 1 species
GACGAACGCUGGCGGCGUGCUUAACACAUGCAAGUCGAACGGACUACUUUGCUUCGGUAAGGUGGUUAGUGGCGAACGGGUGAGUAACGCGUAGACAACCUACCUCUUAGAUGGGGACAACAUCGCGAAAGCGGUGCUAAUACCGAAUGAAGUGACUUUCCUGCAUGGGAGAGAUACUAAAGGUGGCCUCUAUUUAUAAGCUACCACUGAGAGAUGGGUCUGCGUCUGAUUAGCUAGUUGGCGGGGUAACGGCCCACCAAGGCGACGAUCAGUAGCAGGUCUGAGAGGAUGAACGGCCACAUUGGGACUGAGACACGGCCCAAACUCCUACGGGGGGCAGCAGUGGGGAAUCUUCCACAAUGGGCGCAAGCCUGAUGGAGCAACGCCGCGUGUGUGAUGAAGGCUUUCGGGUCGUAAAGCACUGUUGUAUGGGAAGAAAUGCUAAAAUAGGGAAUGAUUUUAGUUUGACGGUACCAUACCAGAAAGGGACGGCUAAAUACGUGCCAGCAGCCGCGGUAA